rnacentral:rRNA from 1 species
CUACGGGUGGCUGCAGGGAAGAAUAUUGUACAAUGGGGGCAACCCUGAUACAGCAACGCCGCGUGAAGGAAGAAGGCCUUCGGGUUGUAAACUUCUGUGACAGAGGACGAAGAAGAUGACGGUACUCUGAGAGGAAGCUCCGGCAAACUACGUGCCAGCAGCCGCGGUAAUACGUAGGGGGCGAGCGUUGUCCGGAAUCACUGGGCGUAAAGGGCGCGUAGGCGGCCUGUUAAGUUGAAUGUGAAAUCCCCGGGCUCAACCCGGAACCUGCAUUCAAAACUGGCGGGCUUGAGUAUGGUAGAGGAAAGUGGAAUUCCUAGUGUAGCGGUGGAAUGCGUAGAUAUUAGGAGGAACACCAGUGGCGAAGGCGACUUUCUGGGCCAAAACUGACGCUGAGGCGCGAAAGCGUGGGGAGCAAACAGGAUUAGAUACCCUAGUAGUC